UCCCUGGAGGACUAGUGGUUAGGCCUCGGCGCUCUCAGCGCUGCGGCUCGAGUUCGAUUCCCAGCCAGGGAA